rnacentral:lncRNA from 1 species
GGUCCCCUUAAAUAUGGGAUAUAGACGAGUGUGGCUUUUUCUAAGCCUUAGCACGCUUGUAUUCCCUCUAUCAAAGGGCAAAUUGAGUCACGAUUUAGGUCUCCCCGUACCCAUCUUGCUUGCAUUCCCUAGGCUCAUGCAUUCUCAAUCCACUCUAUCAUUACACUUUCACUUUUGUCUCAUUUGCACACAUGCACCUUUUUAUCACCUUCACUUGCACACGAACA